rnacentral:misc_RNA from 1 species
CUUCAAAAGAAAAUCCAUUGUAUAAAAAGUUUCAAUAUGUUUCUUUUUGACAGAUACAUCAAAGUCCAAUUCUUUAAUAGAAUCCAAUUGGACAAGUUAUACUGCGUAUAUCAGAGCUACACUUGCAGGUAAUUAAAACAAAUGAUUAGAAAAUUAUUCACCAUAAACUUAUCAGCUCAUCAAAUCAGUCUAUAACUAAUCCUAAUUCAGACUAAAGCAACAAUUGUUCCAUAGAUUUCCAAAAUUACACAUAAAGCACAACAAUCACCAAAACAACAGUGGAGAUUCAUCCCAGUUCUAGAGAUCAAUUAUCAAAUCAUUAUCCUUUUACUGAACAAUGAUAGUUCUAGUUUAUCCUACUCCUCACUAGAGAAUCAGAUAAUUAUGGCCUAAUAACACUAGGAAUUAAUAAAAUAAGAAGUAUUAAUAAGUGAACAAAACCAA